CUUAGCACGUUGAAGAUACAAGUACACAGAACAUAUUAUAAACUAUUCUUCGGAAAUGAUUGUUAGCUUCAUGUAUUAAAAUUGACUUAUAAAUUGUAUACAGAACAUAUGAUUACAGAGAUUGUGUAAAGUCAAUAUGAAUAGAAUAUUGGUUUAUAUUGCUUUCAUUGUAUUAAUUGUGGAUAAAGCAUGUACAGCAUCUAAUUGUACGUCGUCUGUCUCAUGGAAUUUAACAACUUUGCCAGUAAGCUUUGGAAAAGACAUAAUUUUACGGUGCUUCAUUAAUAACACAAAGGUCGACAUUGAUUCACAGUCGAAAGUACGACAAUGGACAGGAGGCCAAAACUACGACAUGCUUUGUAUGGAUGGUGAUUGCAAAUAUCCAAAUAAAUAUGAAAUGAUAACACGAAAUACCGGUAAAGAUUUUGAAUUGGUAAUUCACAAUAUUAGUGAAUCAGAUUUGGACUACAAGUACACGUGUACCUGUGGAUUUGAUAGUUGCACUAAGAAUCUGUCUGUCGAACCAAAUCAUG